GAUGAAGAACGUAGCGAAAUGCGAUACUUGGUGUGAAUUGCAGAAUCCCGUGAACCAUCGAGUCUUUGAACGCAAGUUGCGCCCGAAGCCAUUAGGCCGAGGGCACGCCUGCCUGGGCGUCACACGUCGUUGCCCCCCCAUCUACUCCUUCGGGAUUGCGGGGGGCGGAUGAUGGCCUCCCGUGCGCCUCGUCGCGCGGUUGGCAUAAAUGCCAAGUCCUCGGCGACGCACGCCACGACAAUCGGUGGUUGCGAAACCUCGGUUGCCCGUCGUGUGCGGUCGUCGCGCAUCGAGGGCUCGAAAAAAAUUGUCGGGCUCCGGCUCGGCUUUCAACGCGACCCCAGGUCAGGCGGGGUUACCCGCUGAAUUUAAGCAUAUCAAUAAGCGGAGGA
rnacentral:misc_RNA from 1 species